CAUUGAUUUGAAAAAUUAAUGUCUGUGGGCAUUUUCUUCCCCAAAUGGGGGGCAGAACAAAUGUGGGCAACUACUGUUGAGCAAUAUUCCCAGGACCUAAGGCAGCCACCCGUCUGGGCCCC